rnacentral:misc_RNA from 1 species
CAAACAGACAAACAUUCUGCAAAAUUCAUCAAUAUGGAGAUCUGAAAGUUUCAAUUGGACUGCCUGCAGAUAAACUAGACAGGUCUAUGACUAAGAGUUACUCGCAAAAGCAACUUGCCAACAAAAGCAAUAUCCUACAACUAAAUGCUGAGGCCUUCACACAAGAUUUGCCAGGCACAUUGCUUGCAUUCUUUGAAAAUAAGAUUCUGAUAAAACAAGGAACACAGCCUUGUGAAACAAAUGCAAAAAUGUUGGGGGAAAAGGAUGAAAAAGUAAUAG